rnacentral:rRNA from 1 species
AAACUUGAGAGUUUGAUCAUGGCUCAGAACGUACGCUGGCGGCACGCCUAACACAUGCAAGUCGAACGAAGUAGCAAUACUUAGUGGCAGACGGGUGAGUAACAUGUAGGUAUCUGCCCUUUGGCCUGGAAUAACACGAGGAAACUUGUGCUAAUACCGGAUAAGUCUUUACGGAGAAAGCUUUAUGCACCAUUGGAUGAGCCUGCACUUGAUUAGUUUGUUGGUAGGGUAAUGGCCUACCAAGACUAUGAUCAAUAGCUGAUUUGAGAGGAUGAUCAGCCACAUUGGGACUGAGACACGGCCCAAACUCCUACGGGAGGCAGCAGUGGGGAAUCUUGCACAAUGGAGGAAACUCUGAUGCAGCGAUGCCGCGUGAGUGAAGAAGGCCCUUGGGUUGUAAAGCUCUUUCGUCGGGGAAGAAAAUGACUGUACCCGAAUAAGAAGGUCCGGCUAACUUCGUGCCAGCAGCCGCGGUAAUACGAAGGGACCUAGCGUAGUUCGGAAUUACUGGGCUUAAAGAGUUCGUAGGUGGUUGAAAAAGUUGGUGGUGAAAUCCCAGAGCUUAACUCUGGAACUGCCAUCAAAACUUUUCAGCUAGAGUAUGAUAGAGGAAAGCAGAAUUUCUAGUGUAGAGGUGAAAUUCGUAGAUAUUAGAAAGAAUACCAAUUGCGAAGGCAGCUUUCUGGAUCAUUACUGACACUGAGGAACGAAAGCAUGGGUAGCGAAGAGGAUUAGAUACCCUCGUAGUCCAUGCCGUAAACGAUGUGUGUUAGACGUUGGAAAUUUAUUUUCAGUGUCGCAGCGAAAGCGAUAAACACACCGCCUGGGGAGUACGACCGCAAGGUUAAAACUCAAAUGAAUUGACGGGGACCCGCACAAGUAGUGGAGCAUGUGGUUUAAUUCGAAGAUACGCGCAGAACCUUACCAACACUUGACAUGUUCGUCGCGACUCUAAGAGAUUAGAGUUUUCGGUUCGGCCGGACGAAACACAGGUGCUGCAUGGCUGUCGUCAGCUCGUGUCGUGAGAUGUUGGGUUAAGUCCCGCAACGAGCGCAACCCUCACUUUUAGUUGCCAUCAUUAAGUUGGGCACUCUGAAAGAACUGCCAGUGAUAAGCUGGAGGAAGGUGGGGAUGACGUCAAGUCCUCAUGGCCCUUACGUGUUGGGCUACACACGUGCUACAAUGGUAUCUACAACAGGAAGCAAAACGGCAACGUUAAGCAAAUCCCGAAAAGAUACCUCAGUUCGGAUUGCACUCUGCAACUCGAGUGCAUGAAGCUGGAAUUACUAGUAAUCGUGGAUCAGCGUGCCACGGUGAAUGCGUUCCCGGGUCUUGUACACACCGCCCGUCACACCAUGGGAGUUGGUUCUACCUUAAGGCAAGGUUUUAAACCCUUGACCACGGUAUAGUCAGCGACUGGGGUGAAGUCGUAACAAGGUAGCCGUAGGGGAACCUGCGGCUGGAUUACCUCCUUU